rnacentral:rRNA from 1 species
CUACGGGUGGCUCCAGUGAGGAAUAUUGCACAAUGGGGGGAACCCUGAUGCAGCAACGCCGCGUGGAGGGUGACGCAUUUCGGUGUGUAAACUCCUUUUAUAUGUCAAGAAAAUGACGGUAGCAUAUGAAUAAGCACCGGCUAACUCCGUGCCAGCAGCCGCGGUAAUACGGAGGGUGCAAGCGUUACUCGGAAUCACUGGGCGUAAAGGACGCGUAGGCGGGUUGGAAAGUCAGGUGUGAAAUCCUACAGCUUAACUGUAGAAAUGCACUUGAAACUUCUAAUCUAGAGUAUGGGAGGGGAGAUGGAAUUAGUGGUGUAGGGGUAAAAUCCGUAGAUAUCACUAGGAAUACCUAAAGCGAAGGCGAUCUCCUGGAACAUUACUGACGCUAAGGCGUGAAAGCGUGGGGAGCAAACAGGAUUAGAUACCCUUGUAGUC